rnacentral:lncRNA from 1 species
CUGGAAGCCACCGUACCUGUAUCUUUUGUUAUCCACUGGCACGAUAUCCAUAGCGAUGUAAUACUGCUGAUGGGGGUCUAAACCUGAGAUCUUCACUCUCAUCGCGGGAAACAUCCGCCUGCCCGCCUUGGUGAUGAUCAUCUCGGUGCCGAUCUCGUGGAAGCGCUUCCAGAGCUCGGCGCCCUGCAGCUCCACGCGCGGUGCCUGGGGCGCGGGCAGAGGCGAGGCGGGCCCGGAGCCCUUCGGGGAGCCGCCGCCGGGCGAGGCGGGUGGGGACGCCGCCGCGAAACCCUCCUCGGCGCCUGCGGAGAGAGCGGAGAGGAGAGGAAGCCGAAGGGCCGGGGCAGCGCCGGGCGCUCCGUCGAGCGGGUUUCGUUCGGGCGCGUUUCGCUCGGCCCUCCGCGCGCGUUACGUCCGCGUUAUACAGAGAGGUACCGAUAGCCGCGCGCAUCCCGCACGCAGACGUUACGAACUCCUCGCCCUCCCCGCCGCUCCCCGCGCCGAGGCGGCACUCACCGGCGGGCCCGCGGGCGCAGCCCGGCUCCAUGUCGCCGCCGUUCCUGCCGCUGGUGGCAGCCGGGCUCCCGGCGCAGCAGCCGCUGCCCCCUUCGUCGUCCGCCGCCUCGUCCUCGCCGCCCACCUUCCGCCGCUUGGGCUGCCGCGGGGGCGGCGCGGGCGGCUGCUGCUUCUCGGCCCCGAUGAGCGCCUCCACCGAGAAGGCGUGAGCCUUCAGGCUCAUGGUGGUGCCGGGCGAGGCCCGCCGCUUGUCGGCCAUGCCCCCCCUGCAGCCAGCGCCGCCCGCCCGUCCUCCCGACCGCGCCGGCUGGGGCCGGGGCUUUUCCUCGCCUUUCUUUUUAAAUCCGAGUUAUCAGCCAAGUUUUUUUUUUUUUCUUUUUUUUUUUCAAGGGGAGGAAAAAAAAAAACAACUCUAUUCCUUUUUGCAGAUGCUCCCUUUUUCUCCCCCUCCUCCUCCUCCUCCUCCUCCUCCUCGCUCUGCCCCGUCUGAUGGGCCCAACAGGACUGACAUGGGUAACAAACGCUCUGCGGACACAAAUUAGGGCUUGUAAUUGAAAUUUGUUGCCUUGAUCUGUCAGCACUUCCAGGCAGGAGAGCGCGGGGACGGACCGCUCAUUAGUGCCGCGGGGCGGAGGGGCCGGGCGGGGCCGCGGGGCGGGGGCUGAGCCCGCACGGCCGCCCGCUGCCCAAUCAGCGCCGCAACACCGCCCCGGCCCGGCCCGGCCCGGCCCGAGCGGGGCCCCGCGGCGGCGAGCAGAGAGGGGGGGCCCGGC